GGGUUGGUUGAAGGAUGGUCUAAACAGUUGGCUUUCGACCGCUACGACCUGGGUUCGAUUCCCACAUUGAGCA